CUGGGUUUUCCCAUGAGAGAAUGGAUCCCAGAGGGGAGGCGGCAGUGGCUGCAUCUGAGCCCAUGCUGCCCGGAUUGCUUGUGUGGUGUCCGCCGCUGCCUCCUGUCC